rnacentral:rRNA from 1 species
ACAGCAGUAGCCACGGUAAUACGUAGGGUGCAAGCGUUAAUCGGAAUUACUGGGCGUAAAGCGUGCGCAGACGGUUAUAUAAGUCAGAUGUGAAAUCCCCGGGCUCAACCUGGGAACUGCAUUUGAGACUGUAUGGCUAGAGUGUGUCAGGGGGGGGUAGAAUUCCACGUGUAGCAGUGAAAUGCGUAGAUAUGUGGAGGAAUACCGAUGGCGAAGGCAGCCCCCUGGGAUAACACUGACGCUCAUGCACGAAAGCGUGGGGAGCAAACAGGAUUAGAUACCCCGGUAGUCCCUGUCUCUUAUAC